UACGUAGGGGGCAAGCGUUGUCCGGAAUUAUUGGGCGUAAAGCGCGCGCAGGCGGUCUCUUAAGUCUGAUGUGAAAGCCCACGGCUCAACCGUGGAGGGUCAUUGGAAACUGGGAGACUUGAGUGUAGGAGAGGAAAGUGGAAUUCCACGUGUAGCGGUGAAAUGCGUAGAUAUGUGGAGGAACACCAGUGGCGAAGGCGACUUUCUGGCCUACAACUGACGCUGAGGCGCGAAAGCGUGGGGAGCAAACAGG
rnacentral:rRNA from 1 species